rnacentral:rRNA from 1 species
AAAAGGUGGCUAUGCUACCGCUUUUGGAUGGGCCCGCGGCGCAUUAGCUAGUUGGUGGGGUAAAGGCUUACCAAGGCAAUGAUGCGUAGCCGAACUGAGAGGUUGAUCGGCCACAUUGGGACUGAGACACGGCCCAAACCCCUACGGGAGGCAGCAGUAGGGAAUCUUCCACAAUGGGCGAAAGCCUGAUGGAGCAACGCCGCGUGGGUGAAGAAGGUCCUCGGAUCGUAAAACCCUGUUGUUAGAGAAGAAAGUGCGUGAGAGUAACUGUUCACGUUUCGACGGUAUCUAACCAGAAAGCCACGGCUAACUACGUGCCAGCAGCCGCGGUAAUACGUAGGUGGCAAGCGUUAUCCGGAUUUAUUGGGCGUAAAGGGAACGCAGGCGGUCUUUUAAGUCUGAUGUGAAAGCCUUCGGCUUAACCAGAGUAGUGCAUUGGAAACUGGGAGACUUGAGUGCAGAAGAGGAGAGUGGAACUCCAUGUGUAGCGGUGAAAUGCGUAGAUAUAUGGAAGAACACCAGUGGCGAAAGCGGCUCUCUGGUCUGUAACUGACGCUGAGGUUCGAAAGCGUGGGUAGCAAACAGGAUUAGAUACCCUGGUAGUCCACGCCGUAAACGAUGAAUGCUAAGUGUUGGAGGGUUUCCGCCCUUCA